AGAGUUUGAUCCUGGCUCAGAUUGAACGCUGGCGGUAUGCUUAACGCAUGCAAGUCGAACGGUAACAGGCAAAAGCUUGCUUUUGCGCUGACGAGUGGCGGACGGGUGAGUAACGCGUAGGAAUCUGCCUAGUAGUGGGGGACAACCUGGUGAAAACCAGGCUAAUACCGCAUACGCCCUACGGGGGAAAGCGGGGGAUCUUCGGACCUCGCGCUAUUAGAUGAGCCUGCGUUAGAUUAGCUAGUUGGUGGGGUAAAGGCCUACCAAGGCGACGAUCUAUAGCUGGUCUGAGAGGACGAUCAGCCACACUGGGACUGAGACACGGCCCAGACUCCUACGGGAGGCAGCAGUGGGGAAUAUUGGACAAUGGGCGCAAGCCUGAUCCAGCAAUACCGCGUGUGUGAAGAAGGCCCGAGGGUUGUAAAGCACUUUCAAUUGGGAGGAAAAGCUAAUUAUUAAUAGUAAUUAGCCUUGACGUUACCUUUAGAAGAAGCACCGGCUAACUCCGUGCCAGCGGCCGCGGUAAUACGGAGGGUGCAAGCGUUAAUCGGAAUUACUGGGCGUAAAGCGCGCGUAGGUGGUUAUUUAAGUCAGAUGUGAAAGCCCCGGGCUUAACCUGGGAACUGCAUUUGAUACUGGAUAACUAGAGUUUGGUAGAGGGGAGUGGAAUUUCCUGUGUAGCGGUGAAAUGCGUAGAUAUAGGAAGGAACACCAGUGGCGAAGGCGGCUCUCUGGACCAAAACUGACGCUGAGGUGCGAAAGCGUGGGUAGCAAACGGGAUUAGAUACCCCGGUAGUCCACGCCGUAAACGAUGUCAACUAGCCGUUGGGCCUAUUAAAAGGCUUAGUGGCGGAGCUAACGUAUUAAGUUGACCGCCUGGGGAGUACGGCCGC
rnacentral:rRNA from 1 species